GUAUGUGUCUGUAUGUGUCUGUAUGUAUGUGUCUGUGUGUGUCUCUGUAUGUAUGUGUCUGUAUCAUACAAACACACAGACACACACAGACACAUACAUACAGACACACAUA